rnacentral:tRNA from 1 species
UCUGGUGUCUCAGAUGGUAAAGAAUCUGCCUGCAAUGCAGGAGACCUGGGUUUAAUCCCUGGGUCCAGAA